GUGAGUCUCAAUAUAUAAGUAAUUUUCAUGUCUCUACUUUGUGUCAUAAUGGCAAAAGUGAAAUCACGUGGCCAAACUCAGAUAACUACAAAGGGAAGAACAAAAACUCAGAGACAUAAAAACUUUUACUUAAAGUCAUCCCCAACCUAACUUGGACAGACAGUUGAUGUGAAAUUCAUUUUGUGGCCAGCUUUCCAGUAGACUAUGAGCUCCUCAAGGCACAGUCCCUUCCAGGGUCCUGAGAAGAGCUCCAGCAAUUUCUUAUUAUUCAUUUUAUAUUUUUAAAAGAGUAUCCUCUACAUGGAAUGACCUCAAGCCCCACAAAACCUGGACCAGCCUCUGGCCCCAAGAUCCGGAGUUUUAAUAAGCUGGUCAGGUGAUUCCCAUAUGCCAAGAGGAUCAGGGAUCACUUGUUACUCAAAGUGCAAUUCACAGACCAGAAUUAUUAGCAUCAUGGAUGAGCAUGUUCAAAAUGCAAGGUCUCAGCCCUCCUGUCAGACCCACUGGAUCUGAGUCUCUAUUUUCACUGGAACUGUGGGCUGACUCACAUGAAAAAUAUCACAUUCAAAAUAAAGUUUGUGAAGUGCUGUGUUAGUA
ensembl:lncRNA